rnacentral:rRNA from 1 species
AUUGAACGCUGGCUGCAGGCCUAACACAUGCAAGUCGAGCGGAGCGGCGGACGGGUGAGUAAUGCAUAGGAAUCUGCCUGGUAGUGGGGGAUAACGUCCGGAAACGGGCGCUAAUACCGCAUACUAUCAGAUGAGCCUAGGUCGGAAUAGCUAGUUGGGGGGGUAAAGGCCGACACAGGCGACGAUCCGUAACUGGUCAGAGUGGAUGAUCAGUCACACUGGAACUGAGACAGGGUCCAGACUCCUACUGGAGGCAGCAGUGGGGAAUAUUGGACAAUGGGCGAAAGCCUGAUCCAGCCAUGACGCGUGUGUGAAGAAGGUCUUCGGAUUGUAAAGCACUUUAAGUUGGGAGGCGUUACCAACAGAAUAAGCACCGGCUAACUUCGUGCCAGCAGCCGCGGUAAUUC